AAUAUAAGAAAGUUUGAUGUUCUGCCAAAUACUAAAAUGCCCUUCUUCUUCUCUAUUACGCCACGUGGAUGUCUUAUGCAUCCAGGAUUCAAAUUGUUUUGUUACUUGCUUUUCCUAAUUUCCUAAUAAAAGUUGAAUAAACUUUUUGUUCUCUCUCAAAGCUUAACAUUUAUUUCAAUACUCUCUCAUUCAUUCUCUCUCAUUUCUUUCUCUUUCUUCAACUUCAAAACUCAACCUCUCUGGCAUCCUCUCUCUAACUACUAGAUUUUUGUUAACAUUUGGGUUUUGUUUUUAUGUUUCAGAUCUGAUAAAUCAUUGAUUUUUCAGAUUUGUGAAAAGUAUCAUUGAUGUUUUUUAGAUCUGUGAUAUCAAAGAAGAUCCAUUUGGUUUUUAACUUCGCGAUUUUAUUGUUUUCCAGGUUCUUCGGGUUUAAUCUCUGGGUUUCUAACUUCCUUCUUCGUCAACAACAACCAGUGAUUUGUUGGUAAAAUAUAAAGAUUUGGAGAUGAAAAAUCACGGGAAUAGCUGAUGAAGCAACAACAAACACACCGCCUGAAUCCUCAACCACUGCGCCCAAAAAUUAUUUUCCACCUUUCUUCAUUUUCUUUGCACUACAAGGAUUUGAAAAGAGGGCAAGAAAAAUGUAAAAAAAAAUGAGUUCUGGAAAUUUUUUCCGGCAACCACCGUGCCGGACCGCCGCGCGCCGACGGUAAUGUUCAUCUGCUCCACCGUCGAGCUUCAUAACAUCCUCGCUCUAUGAAGCUUUUUCCUACUGGGUUGUUUUUUUUCUUUAAUGUUAAUUUUUGUUUUAUGGAGAGAGGAGAAGAGAGAGAGAGGGAGAGAAAAGAUAUUAAGAAUGAUGAUGAUUUUAUGAAAAAAUAAAUAAAAGAUUUUGUUGGAAAUAUGGAAAAGAGAUUCUACAGCAUGCGAGAUCUUUUUCUUCAAAUAUAUUGUGGAGAGAGUUGAUUUCUCAACCAACAUUAAGGACAAGUGUAAUUUGUUUUCCUAUUUUUCAUUUUAUGGUAUAUUUGUCUAUAACUUUUCAUCACAAACCUACAUUUUUGCCUCUAUAUUCAUGUCUCACAAUAGGAUUGAAAGUUUAAUAAAUGGGACAUUAAAAACUUUUUAUCAGAUACUUAUUUUUUAAUUAAACACAUGUGGACUCAGUAUCAGCAAAAAGUUAAAAAGUAUGAAUAGCCUCACUUUACCAUAAUGGUUUUGUGAUACUACAUCUUUUUAAGUGAAGUUUGAUCCAAACACUCUACAUAUGAUAUGACACACUCAUGAUGACUUAUUUCUUCCAACUUUUUACAGUUUCCCAUUUACAACUUUUGUCACAACUUCCAAUGUUUCACGUUUCACGGAUCCCUACCACGACUAUUUUGUUUUGGUACCUAAAGAACUAUGGCUUACUGAAAUGUCUAUGGUCUAAACAAAUAACAAAACUUCUAUCAACUAUUGAAAAUGUAAGCACAUUUCUAUGUCAUUAACAAUAUAAAAAAAAUCAUUGUUCUUGAAAAUACCAUUAAUAUAUAUAUAUAUAUAUAUAUAUAUAUAUAUAUAUAUAUAAAAUUCAUCUUCCACUAUUUAUUAUUGCUUUCUUACAAUCAUCACGUUUCAUUCAGCUUGUAUGCUUUGUCAAAAUUUUUAAAAUUGCUUCUUGGAAAGACAAAUAUAAUAUUAUCAAUUAAUUUUAAAAAAAAAUUUGGAAAGACAAAUAUUUGCUUUCCUCUUCUAUUAUUCUAUUGACAGUAUGGUGCAAACUGCCUUUUCCUG